GUCCGCGUGUUUAAUCAUAUGCGGUCUGGCCUGCCCACUGGAGUUCUGAAGGCCGCGGUAUACUGACCGUGCGAAGGUAGCAUAAUCAAUAGUGUUUUAAUUGAAGACUGGAAUGAAGGGUCGGACAAGGGGUUGGCUGUCUCUUAAAUAAAAUUUGAAGUUUACUUUUAAGUGAAAAGGCUUAAAUAAAGUAGAGGGACGAUAAGACCCUAUAAAACUUUACAAGAUGUGUUGUUAGAGGUAUGAAUUAUAAAGUGUAAACUUGAUAAGAACACAAUUGUUUUGUUGGGGCGACAGGGAUAAAACAAGAUUAACUGUCUUUUUCUAUAAUAAUAGUUAUAAUUAGUUAAGUUGAUCCUUUAUUAAGGAUUAAGAGAUUAAGUUACUUUAGGGAUAACAGCGUAAUUUCUCUUGAGAGUUCUAAUCGACAGAGUUAGUUGCGACCUCGAUGUUGAAUUAAGAUGUUACUCAGGUGCAGCAGUCUGAGUGGUAGGUCUGUUCGACCUUUAAAAUCUU
rnacentral:rRNA from 1 species